rnacentral:rRNA from 1 species
AUUGAACGCUGGCGGCAGGCCUAACACAUGCAAGUCGAGCGGAGCGGCGGACGGGUGAGUAAUGCCUAGGAAUCUGCCUGGUAGUGGGGGAUAACGUCCGGAAACGGGCGAUAAUACCGCAUACUAUCAGAUGAGCCUAGGUCGGAUGAGCGAGUUGGUGGGGUAAAGGCCUACAAAGGCGACGGUACGUAACUGGUCUGAGAUGAUGAUCAGUCCCACUGGAACGGAGAAACGGUCCAGACUCCUACGGGAGGCGGCAGUGGGGACUAUUGGACAAUGGGCGAAAGCCUAAUCCAGCAAUGCCGCGUGUGUGAAGAAGGUCUUCGGAUUGUAAAGCACUUUAAGUUGGGAGGCGUUACCUGCAGAAUAAGCACCGGCUAACUACGUGCCAGCAGCCGCGGUAAUAC